rnacentral:lncRNA from 1 species
ACACAGCUGUGUGGGCCAAGGGGGCUGGUGUAUCUCCACAUGCAAGCACGUAGAUACCGAGGAACCUGGCCAGCCCUGCAGCCUGACUCGGGAUGGCUGCCUCUAUGCCCUCUGCGUCUGACUUUCUCCUUUGAGAUAAAGGUGUUUUGGCCCAAGCUGAGUGCAUUGCUGGGCAGCGGCCAUGCCGAAGGUGGUAGCUGAAGGGACCCUUGAUCGAAAGACGCUCUGCCAUGCUUUCUGAGUCCUGUCUCCUCCAAGCUUGUCUCCUAGACUGUUUCCCCUGUCUGUUUUCCUGCGCCCUUGUGUUUGGCCAUUUUUGCAUUAGGCUGUGUCUCUGUACCCAAGGCCACGUGACAAGGUAGUUGGAACCCCCACUCAAGUGGUGAGUGAAGAGCGUCGUGGUAAUAAUAAUAGUAGUAACACAACUUCCAAAUUUCUCAGUGGAGAGUGUCACGUCCUGGGGGUAUCAAGAUCUGUGAGGCCUUUCCAAGCCCUCACCAUUCCCUCUUUGGUCCCACGUUGGGUGGGCAGCUGGGAAGGUCCUAGUUGAUUUUAAUCUCCGGUGCUUUCCCCAGAACUGCUGCUCUGAAUAAACCAAAGCUGUGAAAGAGUGUUCUGCGCAGGCUGCGGGCCCAGCCUCUGGGUGCAGGCCCUGGGCACUUGAGCUGAGCAGCUCAGCUGGCUCUGCUGUGAGGGAAAGCCGUGAACUUAACUGUGCUGAGAGCUGGGUGAGGGCAAAAUGGGGAAGACUGAAGAAGAAGGAGCAGGUGGGAGAGACCAGCCGCUAACAUGGUGUCUACUUCUCCGUGGAUCAGAGAAGGGAUGAGUAGCAAAUGCAGAGGCAGGGUGGUCUCCCAGCAACAAGGAUGUCCAGAGUUCUCCUGACCCUGUCUGCACCCACUUCCAUGCAAGGCAGAGGCAUCACAGUUUUCCAUCCCAGGCCACCCUUCACUCUUCCAAGUGUCAGGCCUCUUUAAAUCUGCAUCCCUUUGGGUUAGAAGCAAGAGAGGUGGCAAAGUCUCCCUGGCACUGAGAGCCUGUCCCACCAUGCCACUCGGCAUGAGAUGGUGGAGGAAGAAGCCAAGAGCAGGGAUGCCUUCCUGUCCCCGUGGCCUCUCAGGACUCCACAAGAUGCUGUGGACCAAGAUGAGAGAUUUCAGGAUGGGGCCACUGGCCUUCCUAGGUUGGGCUCUGGGUCCUUUCAAUAAACUGUUCCUUUCCUGAUUCUUACUCCCUUCUGGUCCUUCCACUCCCUUCCCUCUGCCAGGUAUGGAAAAGGUGGCUGGGCUCGGUGUGCGCUCCAACCCCGGUAGCAUUAGCUGAGUCACGCGGCGAGCACACAACAGAUUUGUAGCAGCUCAUCUGCCAUAUAAACCGCUUGGCUGAUGGAGUCCUCAUUGAGUUUUUUCAUUAUCGUGUAAAGUGGAAUCAUGUCAUUCACCUUUACUAUAAACAAGGCUGUGAGAACAUAAUAAACAGAACCUGAACAAGC